rnacentral:lncRNA from 1 species
UAUUGAGUCAAGUCUUUGUCAGUCACAUUUCCACUUGAGUAAAGAAGUCAUCAUUUUCAUCAGAGAGAUCAAUUGGUGAUGCUGUAGAACUUCUUGUCUCUUUUAACUCUUCCAAUAAUUUUCCAUAUUCUUCUUCUGAAGUACAUGCAGCCAUUUGAGACAUUAUUUGUUGUUUCUUUGCCAAAAAGGUUUCGUGUUUGGUUAUAGUGGAUAUGCCUAGAUUGGCAGUAUUG